rnacentral:lncRNA from 1 species
GAGAGCGGGGUAGAUAGGUUUACAUGUGAUGUAGCAAACCCAAUAAGACCUAAACUAAAACCUCCUCAAUCAAGUCGAGAGUGAACCAACAUGAGCGAGUCAUAUUAAAUUAAUUGAUCUAAUUGGUGUCUAGGAAAGCAUGAAAGGUGGUUACUUAAUUAGGACCUUACUCUCUGAGUAAGGGGAGCCUCCCACCUGCUUACCUGGCCAAUUGUUC